rnacentral:rRNA from 1 species
CCUACGGGAGGCAGCAGUGGGGAAUUUUGGACAAUGGGGGAAACCCUGAUCCAGCCAUGCCGCGUGAGUGAAGAAGGCCUUCGGGUUGUAAAGCUCUUUCAGCCGGAACGAAACGGUCACGGUUAAUACCUGUGAUCACUGACGGUACCGGAAGAAGAAGCACCGGCUAACUACGUGCCAGCAGCCGCGGUAAUACGUAGGGUGCGAGCGUUAAU